GACGAACCGUCCAAACGUUAUUCGGAAUCACUGGGCUUAAAGGGUGCGUAGGCGGCGCGGAAAGUUGGGUGUGAAAUCCCUCGGCUUAACCGAGGAACUGCGCCCAAAACUUCCGUGCUCGAGGGAGAUAGAGGUGAGCGGAACUUAGGGUGGAGCGGUGAAAUGCGUUGAUAUCCUAAGGAACACCGGUGGCGAAAGCGGCUCACUGGAUCUCUUCUGACGCUGAGGCACGAAAGCUAGGGUAGCGAACGGG
rnacentral:rRNA from 1 species